rnacentral:lncRNA from 1 species
GUUUGUAAUACAGUGUAAACUUUGCAAAUUUGCUCACAGUAGCAGAGAGGUCCUCCUGAAACACUACAGGUUUCACCACUAUCAAGGGCGAUCCUGGCAGCAGCCUUGCCUGUAUACUGACUGCAUCUGCACUUUCAAAACUAUAGGAAAGGGAUGCAUUACAGGAGAAAUUGAAGAAGAAACAUCUCAACAUGGCAUUUGUUGACUCGAAAAUGGAAUUGACAUUCUCAUUGAGAAGGAAGGAGAUAGUUGAAGAAGAACCUCUUGUAGCUGAUGUACUAAGACAAUGGCCAGCAUUGUUUUUUGGAACAUCAGAUAUGUGCUGAGUUUUACAGAAUCACACAAACAAACCUUAAGAGUAAAUUUUUCUCUUAUCUGGAUGAAUAUACACCGCGGAUGAUCAAGUUGUUUAGGGUACUCGGCGGAGCAUAUGGAGAUAAUAUUAAGACCCUCCUAGACCAACUUGAUGAUCAGACCUCCGAUGUGCUUGCUCAUAGAAAGGCUACAGCUCUCAAAGGUCUACCUUUGUUUAUGAGGGAAAAGUCUGAACAUUUCCUGAAGACUUGCCUGGACACAGAGCCAGAAGAAAAUCAUACAAAAGGGAAUAAAGAUGGG